CCUACGGGUGGCAGCAGUGAGGAAUAUUGGUCAAUGGACGAGAGUCUGAACCAGCCAAGUAGCGUGAAGGAUGACUGCCCUAUGGGUUGUAAACUUCUUUUAUAUGGGAAUAAAACGUUCCUCGUGUGGCAUUUUGUAUGUACCAUAUGAAUAAGGAUCGGCUAACUCCGUGCCAGCAGCCGCGGGAAUACGGAGGAUCCGCGCGUUAUCCGGAUUUAUUGGGUUUAAAGGGAGCGUAGGUGGAUUGUUAAGUCAGUUGUGAAAGUUUGCGGCUCAACCGUAAAAUUGCAGUUGAAACUGGCAGUCUUGAGUACAGUAGGGGUGGGCGGAAUUCGUGGUGUAGCGGUGAAAUGCUUAGAUAUCACGAAGAACUCCGAUUGCGAAGGUAGUUGACCGGACUGCAACUGACACUGAGGCUCGAAAGUGUGGGUAUCAAACAGGAUUAGAUACCCCGGUAGUC
rnacentral:rRNA from 1 species